GUCGCUUCUCAGCCUUAUGGCUAAGAUCAAAUGUAGUAUCUGUUCUUAUCAGUUUAGCAGUCAUGUGAGUUUAAAAAAAGUUUGUCUAGUCUGUCCCUGGUUGGAGUCACAAGGCUAAAUGGUAUGAAAUAAAGGCUCUGACAAGUUCUAUAGUAAACUGUUGAUUUUGUUUAACUUGGUUUUCCCAAACCUAUUUUAACAGAAUCUUU
rfam:Myotis brandtii contig185900, whole genome shotgun sequence.